rfam:Deltaproteobacteria bacterium GWD2_55_8 gwd2_scaffold_4074, whole genome shotgun sequence.
GCUUAAUGCUAGGGGUGUCCGCCAUUGACGGACUGAGAGCCCGACAUGGAAACUGCCGGGUAACCCUCCGAACCUGAUCCGGAUAGUGCCGGCGUAGGGAAGCGUGAGAGUCACUGU